rnacentral:lncRNA from 1 species
AAGUCCUCGGCCUGGGGGGUGGUGACAGCCUGGAGAUCUACCUGUGUUGCGGCUGCCCAAGACCACGCUUCUGUCCAUAAGUUCCCCAAUAAAUCAUCCUCUACCGGCAAACUGGAUUUGCCUGUCUGUACUUUGGUUUUCGGGCUCCUUCUGCAUUUGGCGUCAGUCUGUGUAUAUGACCCUUUCUCGAAACAUUCCCCAUCCUCACUGGAAGCUACCUCCUUUCUCCUAUUUUAUGUAAUUUCUUUUGGCUGAAAUAAGUAAGCCACAAACAAUGGGAAAUCUGUUUUUUUUUUUUUUUUUUUUUCUCCCCCCCAAAAUACACUGAAAUCCCUUGGUGGACGCGCAUGGGUAGAUAGAGGAGCAACAUCCUGUAGUCAGUAUUUGGGGCAGCAUUUCACCAUGUGAAGUUGUAUUGCUUCAGGGAACACACUUCCUCCAGUGGUGGGUCUGCCUCCCCAGCACGGUUAUGGAGUCACAGCUCCUCAGAGUAGCGAAGAUCUCGAGGGAGUUAAGGGAUGGAGCAGCCCUAGCUCCCUGCUGGGCUGGAGGAGGGCGAGUUCUGCCCUUACGGAGACGCUACGCACAACUGAUGAGGAAUUCUCAGCAUCAUUUGGAGCUCGUCUGGAAUGUGACUCAAGCAUACCCUUUCGAAAGCCUGGUGUUAUGGACUGCCUGUGCGUUCCCCCAAAAUGUAGACAGGCUGGGAUGUCUGAGCCCGCUGCAGGCUCAGGAGGAAGGGCAGAUUCUGGGGAAGAAGGCCCCAGCCGCAGGAGCCAUCCCAGCCGCACAGCCAGACUCCCGUUGUCAGGCUUGGCCCACGUCCGGCCGAUCAGCGCAUGGCUGGAGAACCGCACAUCUGGCUGUGACGGUGGCUGCCUUCCUUUCGUUUCUACUCCAGCAACCCGGCCCCAGGAUCAGCUGCAUGGGAGGUAAAUGGAAACUUUGUGGACAGAGUCCAGUGGUCACCCAGGGCUGGCGACGCUCCUGCCUUUCAGGUGUCCUGGGCACCCGAGCAGCUGUGGGCUACGGCUUAUACUUUCCCUGA